UUCUGCCACCGUCGAUUCAGUUGAAUCGGAGCUUCUCAAAUUCUGAACUAGCGAUCGUUUGGGGGAAAAUGCUUGCCGCGACCUUCUCUUCUGAGCAAAACCUCUCAUAUUCAAGCUCCGAUUGUGAUUCAGAACUGUCACUAUUGAACAGGUGUGCUCAAGCAGACAUAUAUCUCAGAGUAAUAUGGCCGAGGCUUCAGAAAAUUCAGGCAACCGGCAGCUGUUACUACUGAAGCUCACUGAUGGACAUUCUGAAAUAACUGCUAUAGAGUACACUCAUGUGCCAUCAUUUCCUGAUUAUAUUAGCCUUGGGCCAAGGGACACCUUAAAUGAUCAUCGACGAAGUCUUGCUGCAAGGGUGAAUGCUCCAAGUCCAAGUCAGACUGAUGGAGUAAAGCCACUUCACACGACUGCUCCAAGUCAGACUGUCCAGCUUCAGAAAACUAAUGGAGUAAAGCCACUUCACACGACUGAAGGAAAGCCUGAGAAAGCAACUGCCUCAAAAAGACCAAAAGUAAGUUAAGUGGCUGCCCAGAAACUUCUACAGAAGACAAGACAGCCUAGUUUUGGCGAUCACAAUUCUAAAUUUCUGAGGCGUAUGGGAAAGGAUACCGAAGGCGACUCAUCUUUGCUCACACUUGAUGAGUGGGAAAAGAGGAAGAGUGGAAGUGGUCCCCAAAGCAUCACCAUUACACUCAAGAUAAGGAGCUUGCAAGACAGCUGUAGAAGCAAUUUGAUUUGGAGGAAAAUCAUGUACGAAACGAUCCUCGUAUGAUGUAUGCUAAAAGUAUAAAAAUGAGCAUGUUCAGUUUCAAAAUAGAUGACACUGGAGCUUCCGGUUGAACCGAUGCAAAACGUAUAAAGAUGAGCAUGUUCAGUUUUGAAAGAGAUGAUUACUGGAACUUCCGCUCAAACUGAAUUCAGGGGAAGCGUAAGAGGACGAGGAAGAGGAAAUAGAUACUGAAGCACAGCGACAGAUUGACAAUGGAGAAUGUAUGUCACUGUGUCCACACUACAUGUGCUUUGGCCAAAGGAGAUACACUUAUGGAAAAUAUCAAAUUUCCGGAUUAAAAUAAAGGCACAUGGGUCAAAAGCAUGUGACAUCAAUACCGCAAUGUAUGGGUGAGGAGCGUUAUUAUUAGUACUAUUUUUAAAAAGAAAAAGUUAGGACACAUUUCAUAGAGAUACAUAGAGGAAAAAGUAGCAUCAUCUCUUCUAUUCUUUCCAUUUUAUUUGCCUCAUAUAU